UACGUAGGGACCAAGCGUUGUUCGGAUUUACUGGGCGUAAAGGGCGCGUAGGCGGCAAUUCAAGUCAUCUGUGAAAUCUCCGGGCUUAACUCGGAAUGGUCAGGUGAUACUGCUUUGCUAGAGUGCAGAAGGGGCAAUCGGAAUUCUUGGUGUAGCGGUGAAAUGCGUAGAUAUCAAGAGGAACACCUGAGGUGAAGACGGGUUGCUGGGCUGACACUGACGCUGGAGGCGCGAAAGCUAGGGGAGCAAACGGGG
rnacentral:rRNA from 1 species